rnacentral:rRNA from 1 species
UACGGAGGGUGCAAGCGUUAUCCGGAUUCACUGGGUUUAAAGGGUGCGUAGGUGGGAAUGUAAGUCAGUGGUGAAAUCUCCGUGCUUAACAUGGAAACUGCCAUUGAUACUAUGUUUCUUGAAUUUUCUGGAGGAUAGCGGAAUAUGUCAUGUAGCGGUGAAAUGCUUAGAUAUGACAUAGAACACCAAUUGCGAAGGCAGCUAUCUACGGGGAUAUUGACACUGAUGCACGAAAGCGUGGGGAUCAAACAGG